rnacentral:rRNA from 1 species
UCCAGAGAAUCCUUUAGAGAUAGAGGAGUGCCUUCGGGAACUCUGAGACAGGUGCUGCAUGGCUGUCGUCAGCUCGUGUUGUGAAAUGUUGGGUUAAGUCCCGCAACGAGCGCAACCCUUAUCCUUUGUUGCCAGCGCGUAAUGGCGGGAACUCAAAGGAGACUGCCGGUGAUAAACCGGAGGAAGGUGGGGAUGACGUCAAGUCAUCAUGGCCCUUACGAGUAGGGCUACACACGUGCUACAAUGGCAGAUACAAAGAGAAGCGACCUCGCGAGAGCAAGCGGAACUCAUAAAGUCUGUCGUAGUCCGGAUUGGAGUCUGCAACUCGACUCCAUGAAGUCGGAAUCGCUAGUAAUCGUAGAUCAGAAUGCUACGGUGAAUACGUUCCCGGGCCUUGUACACACCGCCCGU